CACCAGUGUUGUAGUAACAAGCAGUUUGCUAAGGUCUCUCAGCCACUGUAUGAAGGAUUCAUCCACAGGCAUGUUGGACCAAUUGCACAAGUGGUUGGGGCGGGUGAAGGUAGAUUCUGGAGAGACAAGAGUGAAGGCAAAGGAAGGUGGACUUUCACCUCACAGUAAUGGAAGACAAAGGAGGUGGUCCUGGGGAAUGCAGAGCCCUACUUUAGACAAAACCCAUUCAUGAAAAAUUGAAGAUAAAGGAGAAGGGGGUCAUGUUGCUACUACACGACUUACAGUUGGAGAGCACUGAGAUCCCUCCAAGUUUCCAGGAGCUCAAGAAGGAGAUUAACUUCUGUUGCAACCUGCACAGCCAGAUCCAGACAGAGAAGAGUCUCAUGAAGAAGUUGGUCACAUUGAAGCAGGAGAGCAAUGUGGUACAGCUUGAUUGUGCAGUUCUACAGAAAUACCUGCUGGACUUGAACCUUGAAAAUAACGACAAACAGGAGAAGACCAGCAACUUCCAGACCCAACAAAUUCCGGUCUCAGAAGCUACAAGAGAGCUGGAAUUGGACACAUUCCAAGAAUACAACCUCUUGAAGAAUGAGUUGCUUUCUCAGGAGUGCCCCACUGACCAACAGCCACAGCAUUUUUUUGGACCAAUAUUCUUCCUCUUAGUUAAGAAGACCUACAGAAGAGCUGAAACAACACUCAAACCCUCAACAUCUUGAACAUGC
rnacentral:lncRNA from 1 species